rnacentral:rRNA from 1 species
AUGAGGAAGAAACUGUCUUCUGGUUAUGUAACCGUGAACACUCCUUCCAUACAGCGAGCUCUCAGUUUGAGCACAGGCAGCCAGCAAAUUGAUAGCGGUAACCACUUCCACCUGGUGGCCCUCUUCCUUCAUUUGCACGAAGCAAUCAAAUGCCUCCUCGGGCCGUUCGUUCAGGGCAUACCCACCUAUCAUACAAUUCCAUGUCACCACGGUCCUCAGUGGCAUCGUCGCAAACACGCCCUCGGCAGAAGCAAUGUCGCCACACUUGCAGUACAUGUCAAGGAUAGAAGUGCCAACCUUGACGUCAUGCUCCAUCCCGUGCCUGAUCACAUAGGCGUGCACCUCCCGCCCUUGCAUCAGCGCAGAUUCCAAGCAGCACGCGGCGAGCGCGGCUAUGAUCCCGACGCAGUCAUGCUGCACCUCCAGCGCCUCGUGCAUCUCCCUGAAGCAGCCCAGGGCCAGCGCCCCGAGGCCGUUGGACACGUAGCCGUCGACCAUGGAGUUCCAGGUGACGAUGUCCCUGGCCGGCAUUCCGUCGAACACUCUCUCGGCGUCGCCCACCAUGCCGAGCCUGGCGUAGAAGGCGAGGAGCGAGUUGCCCGUGUACACGUCGGCGGCCACCACGCCGAGCCUGAUCGCCGCCGAGUGCGCCGCGCGGCCGUCCUCGAGCGCCCCGAGCCGCGCGCAGCACUUGAGGACGACGGGGAAGGUGAAGCGGCCGGGGCGCGCGCCGGCCGCCAGCAUGGCGCGGUAGGCGGCCAGCGCGGCGCCCGGGAGGCCCGCGUCGGCGAGGCCCCGGAUGACGACGUUGUGGAGGAACGCGUCGCAGCUGCCGGCGGCCGCCAGGGCCUCCAGGGCGGCGUCCAUGCGGCCGGCGGCGGCGUGGGAGAGGACGAGCGACUUGGUGGCGCCGCGCUUGGGCCGCACGCGCGGCGGGGGCUCCUUGGAGGUGGCCGCGGCGAGGUGCUGGGAGGCGCAGGUGGAGGUGGUGGUGGCGGCGGCGGCGUGGGCGCCGCGGGAGGCGAGGACCAGCGGCGUGGCCAUGGGUGGAGCACGGGGCCUAUCCGGGAGGAGCCGAGCCAACCAAGCGAAGCAACGGGACAAGAAAGAGGGUGGUGA